UUUCGGCCAUAUUACAUUGAAACACCGGUUCACGCACGAUCACCGAAGUUAAGCAACGUCGAGCCUGGUCAUUACCUAGAUGGGUGACAGCUUGGGAAUACCAGGUGAUGUAAG
rnacentral:rRNA from 1 species